AAUCGGUAUUUUAGCGGAUUAGAACGAUUAAUAGGAGAUGCACUCUAUAUGACAUCUCCUCUCUCAGUUCGGUCAACAUGGUGUUGCUCUCCCAUAACCGAUCCCGAUGGGAAAACCCAUGAACCACCGAUGUAUCGUCUCUGAAAGAAUGCCACCGUGUAACCAUACAUUCGUCGUCGUUGAAUCAUUCUGAAUCAUUAAAGACUUCAUCUUUGUGAUUGAUUUCAGUUACCGAUAUAUUCAAGCAUUCACAUUUGAUUCACAAUACAUCAAGAGCACCAUCACUUCUUCUUAUUUUCUUCUUUCUUGGUCCGAUGAAGGUUGUGGUGUUGGUUCUUGAUGGCAUUGAGGUGUUCAUCGGUUGGAAAGGGGUGGUUCAGGAAGGUGGUCUCGGUGGUUUAAAGUGGUUGUAACAGGUUGAUAUUUUUAGUGGUGGAGGAUGGUGGUUAGCAGUGAUUAAGGUGUGCAUCUCUAAACCACUGUUAAUGCACCCCCCACCACCGCUACCACAACCACUAAGCAUCGUCGUCACCAAAUCAACAUCACCCACUCUAGCCCACUAGGUUCAGUAUUCUAGGAAGCCCAUGAUCGUUUUUGCUAUUGUUCCCCCUCCCCUGGUAAUGGAAUCCCUAUCUCUCGCUUUUUAAUAGAUCCAGUUGAAAUUCUCAAAAUUGUGUCUCAGCUUUGAAGAAGUUCAAAGAGAAGGCACCAUUGAUUUAUUCUUCAUUUAUGUAAGUUUUCCAUCCCUUUAACUAACUUCAAAGAUUUUGAACACAAACAUCAGUUUCCAUCGUUUUUAGUUACCUAUAGAUAUGUGGGUUGUCAUAAUCUGAUGAAAAUAGGUAUUUUUGAUUCAAUAUAGAUGUUCUUCAUAUAUAUAUUCUAUAUUGCACAUUAAUGGGGUUUUAAUUAUUUUUCAUUAGUGUUUAUUUAAUAUUAUUCAGGAUAUUUGAAAAUCUUUUGAGUACAUGAAUGAAUUUGAGGUUGGUUUUGGUUUUGAUUUCUAUUGUUUAAUAAUACAUGUUUUGAUGUUCGAUGUUUUAUUUGAUCUUUUUGCAGGGUUUAUUUGUUGCUUACUUGAUUUUUUGUGUUGAUUUAUUUUAUGUUAAUUAGUUGCUUCUCAGUUGAACAUAACAAAAAAAAAUUAUAUUUUCAGGUAAAAAGUUUAUCUUUAUUGACCAUAUUAAAAUAGUCUUCGUGUAAUCCACAUGUAAGUUUUUCUUUUAUAUUCUUUGCAUUCUUUGUGUUUUGGAUUAUGCUUCUAUUUGUUAAAGUUAUGUUAAUAACACUCUUGGCUCAAUCCUUGUUUUUUCUCAAAGUUUUGCUAUUAUAUAAGCAAGAAAUAGAAAAUCUCACCCUUUUAUGUGCAUGGGUAUUGUCUUUUAUCUUAAUGAUCAAUAUUCGAGAUGGAAUUGAUUGCUAAUUUUUCUUGCUAUUUGGUGUUGUUAUUUUGAUGAAGUCUCAGUUUGUUCCUGAUUGCUAAUUGGUGUUGCUAUUUUGUCGUUUAAUCCAAUUGUGCAAGUUUUGGGCUCUACUUACCCCACUUAGGCAUACUGGCCCAAACUUUUUACGUUUUGGUGCAAAAUUUGAAAUUGAGGGCAUUCCGGUAUUUCUCUGGUUACCAUCAAAUGUGAUAGUUUUGUGUAGGCCUGCAAAAUUAUCAUAACUCUGGUAGGCAGGAGAAAUAUAGGAGUUGGUGUGGUUAGAUGUUGUUUUAGUGCAUUCAACUUCUAAUAAUUACCUUCAUAUAUUUCUUUAGUACAAAAAUUUGAGUUUUCUUGCGAUAUCUCAAGGAUCUGUAUAUUCUUGCAAGAUCAAAAGUAGUGGUACCAAAAUGUUUGCAAUAUAGCAAUCUGGGACAAAGCUCCAACACAAAGGUGUAUCAAGUAUGAUCUGAUAUGCAUAUGUGUGUAUAGGAUUUGAUUUGUAUGUAUGUACACGUGUCAUCUGAUAUGUGUGUGUGUGAUUCCUAUAAAAGUUCCAAUUUUAAGCUUUUAUAAACUGUUAUAUUCACUUUUUUGUUGAUUCGAUAUUAGAAAGGAAUAAAAAAACAUAUUUGUACCA